rnacentral:tRNA from 1 species
AGAAUUGUAGCGGGUAUAGUUUAGUGGUAAAAG